rnacentral:lncRNA from 1 species
AUAUUUACAUGUCGAGUCAUAUUGAUUUAUAUUUGGAUUUAAUAUAAAUAGCGUUGUGAAAUUUAGGAAAAUCAGUCACCUUUCGGAAACCUAACCUUUCACUACUAAAGUCUAUUAUACUGGAUCUGUAAGACUGUCGAUCAGUCUACUAGUUGACUUUGUAGUGUUUAGACAAAAAUGUAUUUUUGACUCACCUUUUAUUUUGAGAAUAAUUUUAGAAAAACAGUCAGUGUUUCGGAAGCGUAACCUCACACUACUCAUGUCAUUAUACUGGACCUAUAAGACUGUCUAC